GGUGGCUCAGUGGUAGAGCGCUUGCCUUGCUUGCAUGAGGCCCUGGGUUCAAUUCCUCAGCACCA
rfam:Dipodomys ordii contig_5576, whole genome shotgun sequence.